GACGAACGCUGGCGGCGUGCUUAACACAUGCAAGUCGAGCGGUAAGGCCCUUUCGGGGGUACGACGAGCGGCGAACGGGUGAGUAACACGUGGGUGACCUGCCCUCAGCUCUGGGAUAAGCCUGGGAAACCGGGUCUAAUACCGGAUAUGACUCCAUGACGCAUGUUGUGGGGUGGAAAGCCUUGUGCGGCUGAGGAUGGGCCCGCGGCCUAUCAGCUUGUUGGUGGGGUGAUGGCCUACCAAGGCGACGACGGGUAGCCGGCCUGAGAGGGCGACCGGCCACACUGGGACUGAGACACGGCCCAGACUCCUACGGGAGGCAGCAGUGGGGAAUCUUGCGCAGUGGGCGAAAGCCUGACGCAGCGACGCCGCGUGAGGGAUGACGGCCUG
rnacentral:rRNA from 1 species